GCGACCCCAGGUCAGGCGGGACUACCCGCUGAGUUUAAGCAUAUCAAUAAGCGGAGGAGAAGAAACUUACAAGGAUUCCCCUAGUAACGGCAAGCGAACCGGG
rnacentral:rRNA from 1 species